UAAGGAAUAUUGGACAAUGGGGGCAACCCUGAUCCAGCCAUUCCGCGUGAGUGAAGAAGGCCUUCGGGUUGUAAAGCUCUUUCGGCAGGAACGAAACGGUUUGGGCUAAUACCCCAGACUACUGACGGUACCUGAAGAAGAAGCACCGGCUAACUACGUGCCAGCAGCCGCGGUAAUACGUAGGGUGCGAGCGUUAAUCGGAUUUACUGGGCGUAAAGCAUGCGCAGGCGGCGGUUCAAGUCAGGUGUGAAAUCCCCGAGCUUAACUUGGGAAUUGCGCUUGAAACUAGAUCGCUAGAGUACGGCAGAGGGGGGUAGAAUUCCACGUGUAGCAGUGAAAUGCGUAGAGAUGUGGAGGAACACCGAUGGCGAAGGCGGCCCCCUGGGCCUGUACUGACGCUCAUGCAUGAAAGCGUGGGGAGCAAACAGGAUUAGAUACCCCCGUAGUCCCUGAGCGGGCUGGCAAGGCGCAU
rnacentral:rRNA from 1 species